rnacentral:rRNA from 1 species
GAUGAACGCUGGCGGCGUGCUUAACACAUGCAAGUCGAACGGAAAGGCCCAAGCUUGCUUGGGUACUCGAGUGGCGAACGGGUGAGUAACACGUGGGUGAUCUGCCCUGCACUUCGGGAUAAGCCUGGGAAACUGGGUCUAAUACCUGAUAGGACCACAUUUUGGAGGGUGUGGUUGAAAGCUUUUCGGUGUGGGUUGAGCUCGCGGCCUAUCAGCUUGUUGUGGGGGUAAUGGCCUACCAAGGCGUCGACGGGUAGCCGACCUGAGAGGGUGUACGGCCACAUUGGGACUGCGAUACGGCCCAGACUCCUACGGGAGGCAGCAGUGGGGAAUAUUGCACAAUGGGGGCAAGCCUGAUGCAGCGACGCUGCGUGGGGGAUGACGGCCUUCGGGUUGUAAACUCCUUUCGCUAGGGACGAAGCGAAAGUGACGGUACCUGGAGAAGAAGCACCGGCUAACUACGUG